rnacentral:rRNA from 1 species
GUGGGGAAUUGUUCGCAAUGGGCGCAAGCCUGACGACGCAACGCCGCGUGGAGGAUGAAGACCUUCGGGUCGUAAACUCCUUUCGAUCGAGACGAAUGGCCUCCGGGUGAACAAUCCGGAGGAGUGACGGUACCGAGAGAAGAAGCCCCGGCUAACUCCGUGCCAGCAGCCGCGGUAAUACGUAGGUGGCAAGCGUUGUUCGGAAUUAUUGGGCGUAAAGGGCGCGUAGGCGGUUUGUUAAGUCGGUCGUGAAAGCCCGGGGGCUCAACCCCGGAGGGUCGACCGAUACUGGCAGACUAGAGUACAGAAGAGGUAGCUGGAAUUCCCGGUGUAGCGGUGAAAUGCGUAGAUAUCGGAAGGAACAUCUGUGGCGAAGGCGGCUUCCUGGCUUCAGACUGACACUGAGGUGCGAAAGCGUGGGUAGCGAACAGGAUUAGAUACCCCCGUAGUCCCUGAGCGGGCUGGCAAGGCGCAU